rnacentral:rRNA from 1 species
CAGUAGCCGCGGUAAUACGGAGGGAGCUAGCGUUAUUCGGAAUUACUGGGCGUAAAGCGCACGUAGGCGGCUUUGUAAGUUAGAGGUGAAAGCCUGGAGCUCAACUCCAGAAUUGCCUUUAAGACUGCAUCGCUUGAAUCCAGGAGAGGUGAGUGGAAUUCCGAGUGUAGAGGUGAAAUUCGUAGAUAUUCGGAAGAACACCAGUGGCGAAGGCGGCUCACUGGACUGGUAUUGACGCUGAGGUGCGAAAGCGUGGGGAGCAAACAGGAUUAGAUACCCGGGUAGUCCCUGUCUCUUAUAA